ACAAGUCCUGCUAGUCGCCUCCGUCUGGGUACCAGCCCCCUAUUACUCUGCAGGCGUGUGAAGAAAGAAGGAAACUAGCUCGGACCGUGCAGGUUUGUAGGUCUGUUGGCCUGUAGGUUUCGGCACAAGUCUCAGCGAGAGAAGGAGAAAACUGCCUUGGUUGGAACCUUGCAGUGCAGGGAAAGGGGUGUGGCGGCCUUUGCUGGGGAAAUGGCGGACGACAAGUGGGGCGGGGGAGGCCUGCGUCCGGAAAAUUCAUCACAAGAGAGCUACAAGAGCCUGGAAGAAGCUGAAGACUGCUACCCUCCAUCCUUACUCACCCUGGACCUGAGAGACCUCUUCAAUCAGGUGGAGCAAGGCCCUCUCCUGUCCUGCCCCAAGGCUGGCACAGACUUGAGCAUGGGCCGGGCUCGGGAAGUGGGUUGGAUGGCGGCAGGACUGAUGAUUGGGGCUGGUGCCUGCUACUGCGUUUACAAACUGACCAUAGGAAGAGAUGACAGUGAGAAGCUGGAGGAGGAGGGGGAAGAGGAGUGGGACGACGACCAGGAGCUGGAUGAGGAGGAGCCUGAUAUUUGGUUUGAUUUUGAAACUAUGGCUCGGCCCUGGACUGAGGAUGGGGAUUGG
rnacentral:sRNA from 1 species